rnacentral:lncRNA from 1 species
GAUCAGGAAGGUGGCCGAGUGUGUCGCCGCGGCCAUCAGGCACUUCUCCUUCCUGCCCUUGUAUGAAGAAGGAUGUGUUUGCUUCCCCUUGUGCCAUGAUUGUAAAUUUCCUGAGGCCUCCUCAGCCCUGCAGAACUGGGGUUAUAGCCAUGUGACUGAUCUUCGUCCAAGAAUAUGUAAAGAAAAAGUGUUGAGUUGGCUUUUAGGGCUAGAGCAAUGUAUCUUAGGCUCACUUAAGGAAGCUGUAGAGAUGAGCCCAAGGAGGGAAACCAGAAGAGCCCCCCAGGCUCACCAGUUGUUUGUUGGCUCCCUACAAACAUGUCAUUCAAGUGGCUAAUCUUACAACAGCACAAAUUCAUCUAACCAGAAAGAGAAGAGGAGGCUCCAAAGGCACUUGACUACUGAGCAUCACCCUGGACGUGUACAAGUCUGCGUCCUUAUUGUUUUCUUCAUUGGGCCGAACUUUCUGGUCCUCAUCCAACAGCUCUUCUAUCACGUGUUCGAAAGUGUCAGCCAAUGAUGUCAAGCCUCUUGAACCUGCCUUGGGCCCAUUCACGCUCUCCAGAGUCCCAUGGGUCCGCACACCUGGAGAUACUCUAUUAUAGCAAAGAAGAAAGAUAAUUUCAUUGAGCCAUCCUGUUUUACAGCACCCAACAGAAUCCCUUCAAAGCCUCGUGGUCUGACACCCUAUGCUACGUGACUUGUGACCCAUCCAUUUGUCAUGUUCUUCGGGAAUGUGGCUAAGGGGCUAAGAUGUGACUUGAAAAGAAAGGUAGAACAAGAUCAUCUCAAAUUUAUUAUCAAGGAAUAGUUCAGAAAACGACUUCAGACCACAGAGACAGCAGAACAGAUGGUCCGGCAUGGAUAGAGCAUCAGACACUCACAGACUGUGCCAACAAGAGCCAUCGAGUCAAAACAGCCAAAGGAAGGAGGGUCAUGGAAUGGGUUCUCUCACACCAAACUGAUGCCCAGAGGCCCUCAGCAUGAAUAACAAAGGCAACCAGACCCACAAGCCAUACUGAGUGGAUACAAAACCUAUACCUAGGCUGACAUCCCAAAUGUGUGUGGCAAGUUAGAUGAUGAUGGCACAAAAGACAGAACACCUUGCUUCUGGCCAUUGUCAGCUCUUGGAAGAGAGCACACUUUUAGAGGAGCAGCUGCAAGGAGCCUGAGAACAAAACUGGAAAUGUCUGUUAUGAAAGCCUUCACAGGAAAUUCUGCAAGUGGCAACGUGGGUCCAUUCCGUGUGUGUCACUAGAGCUGGCGCAAGCCCAUGGCCAUGGUGAGGCAGCGUUUCCACUGGAACUAAUCUGAUACCUGCACCAGCUCUUGCAACUGUGCAGUGUUCCCACUGCAAACUACGGAUGGGGUAAAAGACUGCUCACCUCCUAUUUCUCAUCUAAUCUCACACACUCUGUUUGAUGAGGCUAUGGAGAAACAGGUCUUCUCAUACACUAAAGGUGGGAGUACAAACAAUUCAAGCCCUGUGCAGGACAAUUAGGCAAUACCUAUCAAAAUUAUACAUGAUUUUUCCUGCUGACCCAGCAAUUCCACUUCUGGGAAUAAUUGACAGAUAUAGGUGCAUAUGUACAAAAUGAUGGAAAGCUCUCUGGUAUAUAUUAGUAAGUGAUAAAACAAGGUGUAAAAUAGUGUAUAUAUGGCUACUACCUUUUGUUUUAAAAAUGGGGGAAAAUGGUGGAGCUUGCGGUGAGCCGAGAUCGUGCCACUGCACUCCAGCCUGGGCGACAGAGCGAGACUCCGUCUCAAAAAAAAAACAGGGUGGGGUGGGGGGGAAAUAAUAGUACAUACUCAUAUUUACCUGUAUCUAUAUAAAACACACUAUCAAGGAUUCACAAGAAACUAAUACAAAUGAUCACCUUAUAGAUGGUAUGUAUUGGGGGAUACUGAGGUGAGCAGGGUAUAAGUGGGGCAAGACUUUUCAGUGUAAACUUCUUUUAAAUUUUAUUUUGAUUUUUGAAUAAUGUAAAUUAACUGUCAAAUAAUUAAAUUAAAAAUAACCAAUUUAUUAACAAA